CCUACGAGGGGCAGCAGUGAGGAAUAUUGGUCAAUGGACGAGAGUCUGAACCAGCCAAGUAGCGUGAAGGAUGACUGCCCUAUGGGUUGUCAACUUCUUUUAUAUGGGAAUAAAAUGUUCCACGUGUGGGAUUUUGUAUUCACCAUAUGAAUAAGGAUCGGCUAACUCCGUGCCAGCAGCCGCUGUACUACGGAGGAUCCGAGCGUUAUCCGGAUUUAUUGGGUUUAAAGGGAGCGUAGGUGGAUUGUUAAGGCAGUUGUGAAAGUUUGCGCCUCAACCGUAAAAUUGCAGUUGAAACUGGCAGUCUUGAGUACAGUAGAGGUGGGCGGAAUUCGUGGUGUAGCGGUGAAAUGCUUAGAUAUCACGAAGAACUCCGAUUGCGAAGGCAGCUCACUGGACUGCAACUGACACUGAGGCUCGAAAGUGUGGGUAUCAAACAGGAUUAGAUACCCUUGUAGUC
rnacentral:rRNA from 1 species